rnacentral:tRNA from 1 species
GGCGGGAUAGCUCAGUUGGUAGAGCAAUAGACUGAAAAUCUAUGUGUCCCCGGUUCAAGUCCGGGUCUCGCCACCA